rnacentral:rRNA from 1 species
AUGAACGCUGGCGGCGUGCCUAAUACCUGCAAGUCGAGCGAACAGACGAGGAGCUUGCUCCUCUGACGUUAGCGGCGGACGGGUGAGUAACACGUGGAUAACCUACCUAUAAGACUGGGAUAACUUCGGGAAACCGGAGCUAAUACCGGAUAAUAUAUUGAACCGCAUGGUUCAAUAGUGAAAGACGGUUUUGCUGUCACUUACAGAUGGAUCCGCGCCGCAUUAGCUAGUUGGUAAGGUAACGGCUUACCAAGGCGACGAUGCGUAGCCGACCUGAGAGGGUGAUCGGCCACACUGGAACUGAGACACGGUCCAGACUCCUACGGGAGGCAGCAGUAGGGAAUCUUCCGCAAUGGGCGAAAGCCUGACGGAGCAACGCCGCGUGAGUGAUGAAGGUCUUCGGAUCGUAAAACUCUGUUAUUAGGGAAGAACAAAUGUGUAAGUAACUAUGCACGUCUUGACGGUACCUAAUCAGAAAGCCACGGCUAACUACGUG